CUCACAUUUGGCUAGCAAUAAUGUGGUUCAAAUUCACCUUUGAUGACAAUCAAACUUAUAACUUCUCAGUUACAAGUGAAGAGGAAUACCACUAGACCCGUAAUAUUAAGUAGCUGAGUAAAUAAAAUUUUAAUUAAUCCAACUUUUUUUGUGGAGCAUCAGCUGGAUAUAUAUCUUCAAUAUUUGAGUCCAUGAGAGACAUGCAUGGUUCAGUUCGAGCCUUUCACUUUCUACUUUCAAGAUCUUAAAAGGUUCUGUUUCUGUUAAGGAUAUCGGAUAUCAAACAAUAAGUUGGCAAAUAAAUGCGGUAGCUGUAAGAGAAGCAUCCAAAUAACCCACUUGACCUAAUUGUUUUAUUCAUUUGGAGCAAAGCAUGCAUAUCGCAAUAUGCAGUCAGCCUCUUGAAGAAACAGUAUGCACAUGUGACACCCUUCAUCAUACACAUGGAUAUGCUUUGGAAACAUACAUAUCUCUGUAAAUUUAAUUCCCUAUUGCCAAUUUGUCGUGCCAUGGAU
rnacentral:lncRNA from 1 species